GAUGAACGCUGGCGGCGUGCCUAAUACAUGCAAGUCGAGCGAACAGACGAGUUUCUUGUUUCUCUGACGUUAGCGGCGGACGGGUGAGUAACACGUGGAUACCCUCUCUAUACGACUGGGAUAACUUCGGGAAACCGGACCUAAUACCGGAUAAUAUAUUGACCCCCAUGGUUCACUAGUGACAGACGGUUUUUCUGUCACUUAUAGGUAGAUCCGCGCCACAUUAGCUCGUUGGUCAGGUAACGGCUUACCAAGGCGCCGAUGCGUAGCCGACCUGAGAGGGUGAGUGGGCACACGGGAACUGAGACACGGAGCAGACUCAUACGGGAGGCAGCAGGAGGGUAUGUGGCGCAAGGGGCGAGAGCCGGACGCAGGGACGUCGCGUGGGUGAUGACGGUACCGGGAUCGGAAAACUCUGUUAUUAGCGAAGAAGACAUGUGGAAGUAACUAGGCACGUGGUGACGGUACCUAGACAGGAAGCCACGGCUAACUAGGUG
rnacentral:rRNA from 1 species